rnacentral:rRNA from 1 species
AAUCUUCCACAAUGGACGCAAGUCUGAUGGAGCAACGCCGCGUGAGCGAAGAAGGUUUUCGGACCGUAAAGCUCUGUUGUUGGUGAAGAAGGAUAGAGGUAGUAACUGGCCUUUAUUUGACGGUAAUCAACCAGAAAGUCACGGCUAACUACGUGCCAGCAGCCGCGGUAAUACGUAGGUGGCAAGCGUUGUCCGGAUUUAUUGGGCGUAAAGCGAGCGCAGGCGGAAGAAUAAGUCUGAUGUGAAAGCCCUCGGCUUAACCGAGGAAUUGCAUCGGAAACUGUUUUCUUGAGUGCAGAAGAGGAGAGUAGAACUCCAUGUGUAGCGGUGGAAUGCGUAGAUAUAUGGAAGAAUACCAGUGGCGAAGGCGGCUCUCUGGUCUGCAACUGACGCUGAGGCUCGAAAGCAUGGGUAGCGAACAGGAUUAGAUACCCUGGUAGUCCAUGCCGUAAACGAUGAGUGCUAAGUGUUGGGAGGCUUCCGCCUCUCAGUGCUGCAGCUAACGCAUUAAGCACUCCGCCUGGGGAGUACGACCGCAAGGUUGAAAC